rnacentral:rRNA from 1 species
AGAGGUCCUGCCUGCCCAGUGACUUAGUUCAACGGCCGCGGUAUUUUGACCGUGCAAAGGUAGCGCAAUCACUUGUCUUUUAAAUGAAGACCUGUAUGAAUGGCAAGACGAGGGCUUAACUGUCUCCUUUUUCAAGUCAAUGAAAUUGAUCUCCCCGUGCAGAAGCGGGGAUACUACCAUAAGACGAGAAGACCCUAUGGAGCUUUAGACACUAAAGCAGCUCUUGUCAAUACCCUAAGAAUAAUUAGACUAAACUUUGGGAACCCUGCUUCAAUGUCUUUGGUUGGGGCGACCACGGGGAAGUAAGUAACCCCCGCGCGGAA